rnacentral:sRNA from 1 species
CAUUAGUACUAAGGGAGAGAAGGUUGUGACCAAGAGAGUCACUAUGGAUGAGACAUAUCUGAAGAAUGCUCAUUAGCUGAAGGGCAGUUUGGUUUGGUGUUUCAAAGAUCGUAUAGAGAACCAUAUGAUUCAGUUACCCUGUCCUGCGCUUACAGAGAUUACAGGAGAGCCACAUGAGCUUGGCUUUCACCCUGAUCCUUCACUUCUACACGCCGCACCGAGCACUAGGAGACAGAGAGGUUCAGCAUCAGGAUCUGCGCCUACAUAGACAGAAGAUAAGUUCAUCGACCCUGCUUGGGGACUUCAAUUUGGGUCCUCUUCUUCAGCUCUACCAUAUCAUCUGCCUACUCCUCCUCCUAUCCUGAUGGAGCUAGCGGUCUUUCACCAGUACGUUGUUGACAGCUUCAAGAGCGUUUGGAACGCUAUAGCUACACUUUCUCGCUGCGGUUGUGUUGCUCCUACUCGUCGACGUCAUCGCUCUCCCGCACCCACCUCCGGCUCUAAGCAUGAGGAUUAGCCAUCCUCCAUAUCUCUGCUUUGUACUCUAACUUUUCUUUUCUUUUCUUUGAGACGAUUUGUUGUUUGCUUCGAAACUUGUUGCACUUAUUAUCCUAUGCUUUGUUGGACCUAUUGAUGUGUGUUUUAGUGAUUU